UGGUGUGCUGCAGCCCUUGGGAUCACAGAGUCAGACCUGACUUAGCAACUGAACAACAGCUCUUGACUGUCGUGGGGUGGUAGCUCAUUGAGCUUUGACCUCCAUUCCUCUGGUGAUGUACUGGCCAUUUGUGCAUCUCCUGUGGAUAAAUGUCUGAUAAAGUCCUUUGCCCACUUUCAACCUGGGUGUGUGUUUCUAUGUUACUGGGCUUUGGAAGUUUCUCAGUACAUUCCAGAUAUUACAUUCUUAUCAGAUAUGUGGCCUGAAAAUCUCUCCUCUCACUCUGGGGUUUGUCUUCUUGCUCUGCACACAGUGUCCUGGCAUCCUUGUCUGCACAGACUUUUAACCCCCCUGAGGCCCAGUCUGUCCAUUCUUCCUUGCUUCCUGUGCCUUUUGUCGCACACAAGAGUCACUGCCAAAUCCAGUGUCGUGGAGCACCUGCCCUGGGUUUUCUUGUACGUUCUGUGGCUUUUGCAUUCACACGUGGGUCUCUGACCCACUUUCGGCUGACGUUUGUACACGAUGUUAGCAGAAAUCUGACGUUACCCUUUGGUGUGGUUUCCCAGAGCCAGCGGGAGAAAGAGGACUCUUUCCUAUGAAAGGGUCUUAGUGCUGUUUCCACCACCCGCCCGACCUGACACGCGAGGCCUGACUUCCCUAUUCUCUGUGCUGAGACCACACUGUUCUCACAGCUGAGGGUCUGCAGUAAACCCUGAAACAGGAAGUGUGUGGUCUCUAACUCUGUGCUGUUUCAAGGCUGUUCUGAAUGUUCAGAAUCCCCUUCAGGUUCCAUGGGAAUUUCAGGAUGGGUUCUUUCAUUUUUGACAGAACCUGAACGUGUAGAUUGCUUCAGGCGCAACCGACAUUUUAACAGUAUUAAGUUUCCUAAUCCAUAGACACAGGCCGUCUUUCCACUUGUUUGUCUUCUUUUCCUCGACAGUUUGUAGUUUUCACUGCACGCCUGCUCCACCUCCUCGGUUAAUUCAGUUCCUAUGGAUUCUCUUCCAGGGGCUACUGUGAUGGAAUCAUUUUCUUCAUUUCGAGACGGAUCACGGUUGGUGUACAGACUUUCGCUGGACUUCCUGGAGUUCAUUUCGCAUCCUGCGACCUGCCGAGCUCAUUCACCAGGUCCAACAGCUUCUGUGUCUGGGCUUGAGGCAUCUUCAGUAUUUUCUACAUCUACAACCCCAUCAUCUGUGAAUAGAGAUGAUUCAACUUCUUUUUCUUGCCUAACUGCUCUGCAUAGAACUUUAAAUAAGGACUCUGGUGAACACAAGUGGCAGAAGGGGACAGCCUUGUCUUGUUAGACGAUCACUCUGGGGUUUUUACAUACGGCUUUUGUUACAUAGAGGUAGUUUUCCUCUAUUCCUAAUUUGUUGAGUACUUUUUAAUCAGGACAGUGUGUUGAAUUUAGUUGAAUGCUCUUUCAGCAUCAACUGAUACCAUGUGAUUCUUUUUCCUUCAUUCUGUCGAUGAGGUAUUCUACGCUGAUUGGACUCUGCAUGUUGAACCAUUCUUGCAUUCCAGACACAAGUCUCAGCUGGUUAAAGUGUGCACUCCUAGGAGAAAACCUACUUGAAGGAGAAGAGGUGGUGACUAGAUGCCAAUGCCGAGACAACACAGACAGCUGUAUUACCUGGCCAAGAUGCUACAACAGCCGUUAUGAGAAAUGCUCCAACAAUAACUGGACCCCGAGACCGGAAAGCCGGGCGCCCCGCCCCUCCGCAGCCCCCUCUGCCGCCUCCGGGGAGGGUGGCAAACACCCCGCGCACAGAUGGUGACCCCGACCUGCUUACUGGCCUAAAGUUUCUUUUAAAAAGAAGUUCUGAUCACAGGACCAGUGGGCCAGUGGGUGGCAGGCAGCCCAGGACCACACCGUGGUCUGGAACCCUGGACUUGGGGCUGGGAGGUCUGCUGGGGAGGAAACAGGCUCCUCCCCAGGGAAGGCUGCCUGCCUCUAGCCCUUUUAGAUGCUGACAGGCAUGCACACCCCUAGGGAAGCCCCUGACAUCACCUGGUCAUUUGCUGAACCAGGCUGUGAGUAAACAGACUGUGAACAGAAACGUUUUAAAUAACUUUAAAUUAGAUUUCCCAUAACACAGUA